rnacentral:tRNA from 1 species
GGGGCCGUAGUCUAGCUUGGUAGGACUCACCCUUGGGGUGGGUGAAACCCAGGUUCAAAAGGCUAUGAAAAUCCUGGCGGCCCCA